rnacentral:rRNA from 1 species
GACGAACGCUGGCGGCGUGCUUAACACAAGCAAGUCGAACGGAGUGGCGAACGGGUGAGUAUUACGUGAGUAACCUGCCCUCAACUGGGGGAUAAGCCGGGGAAACUGGGUCUAAUACUGCAUAGUUGGGGAUGGGCUCGCGGCCUAUCAGCUUGUGGGGGGGGUGAUGGCCUACCAAGGCGGUGACGGGUAGCCGGCCUGAGAGGGUGGUGGGACACAUUGUGACCGCAAUACGGCCCCGACUCCUACGGGAGGCAGCAGUGGGGGAUAUUGCUCAAUGGGCGACAGCCUGAUGCAGUGAGGCCGCGUGAGGUAUGAAGUCUUUCGGGUUGUAGACCUCUUUCGGUACAGAACGGGUAUUUGCACAAGAAGCGCCGGCUAACUACGUGCCAGCAGCCGCGGUAAUUC